UAUUAAUCCACACAACAUAAAAUCCCAUAUUUUAUCAACAGCAGCUAUAAUAACUACUGAAAUUAAGUCUGACAUAACAAAUCAGUUAAUUAGUUUAAAAAUUGACUGUGUAAAGUGACAUAGUCAUUCCAUUAUGGGUGUUAAUGUUCAAUACAUUAAAGAUAAUAAAUUAUGUUUGUAUACAAUAGGAAUGGUAGAGGUUAAUGAACAACAUACAGCUGAAAAUUUAAAAAAAUUGGUAAAUAUAUUAAUCCUUAGGCUUAAAAUACUUUAUACUUGGUAAUGUUUAACUUAUUAUUUUAGCUUCUCGAAAUACUAGAAACAUAUAGUAUUAAAAAAGAACAAGUAUAUACGAUUACCUGUGAUAAUGCGGCAAACAUGGUGAAGUUAGCAAGGAUAGUAAAUGAAAUACCUGAAAUGUGUGUAAUGACUGAAAAUGAACUAGAUGGUGAUAAUAAUGAUAGUUUUGAUGAUGAUCAGUCUGACAUUUACAUUAAUGAAGGAGAGCCACUUUCAUGUAUCGACAUUGAAAAUGAACUUAAAAAUUGCAAACAACCAACAAAUGAUGGUAUUACAAUGAAUAUUGAAAAUGUAGAAAGUAAUGUUUGUAAUGCUCUUAGCCCAGUAGCAAUUACAUAAUCUUGUGUAUGGUGUUCGGUGCAUACAUUACAGCUAUGUAUACUUCAAGGGUUUAAAGUUGCACCAAUUAUGAAUUCUAUCUCACGGACUAGACAUGUUGUAAAAACACUUAGAAAUCCAAAGUAUUCCUGUUGGUUGGCAAGGGUAAAUUUUAAAUUGGCUAUUUUGGAUAAUGAAACGAGAUGGAAUUCAUUGUAUACAUGAUAUUUAGACUAUUAGAAUUAAAAAUAUUUUGUCAAAAGUAUGAUGGGACAAACUUGGAGUUACAACUCCACAAUAGUGAGUGGGAAUCUAUUCAAAGCAUUGUUGAAGCUUUGAAACCUGUAAAGAUUGCUACAUUAGCUUUUCAGAAACAGGAUCUGAAUUUGGGAGAUUUUUUUGGAAUUUGGUGAAGGGCCUCUAAUGGUCUGAAAUCAAAUGGUUCCAUACUAUCAAAAGCAAUUUUAAAGGCUAUGGUGGAACAUUAGACGAUUUUGUUAAACAAUAAUGUUUUCAUAGCAGGUUAUAUUUAUCGAAUAAAAAUAAACAUCUAUGUUUUGUGAUUGUUUUACUAAUAAUAAGUCAAAAUAAUUCUAUUAUACAGUAAUAUUAUCUAUAUCAGUGGUUCUUAAAGUCUAUAGAAUUGAUAAAACAUUUAAAAUUCACAGACCCUUUUACCAAUUUACUUCUGAAAAUGUUUUAUUUUUUUUUUAAAUAUCUCAUGUCAUAAGCACAUUAAGGUAUGAGGUUGUGUAAAUGGGGGGAACUACCAAUAGCCGUAGCCUCUUGAGUAUUAAGGACACUCGUUGGGCUCCGAUCUAUAGUUAGUAAGAACUGCUGAUUUAUAUGAAAUCUAUCUAAUAUAAAAAAUGUUUAGAAAUUAAUAAUAUUAUUGGUAUGUUGUACUAUUCAUUUUAAAAUUGGUAUUUUUCGUGCUGUACCUAAUCUUUAACAGUAAAAUAUUAUUUUUAUUUAAAUGUAUUG